rnacentral:rRNA from 1 species
GAAGUUUGGACCGUGUCUCAGUUCCAAUGUGGCCGAUCACCCUCUCAGGUCGGCUACUGAUCGUCACCUUGGUGGGCCGUUACCUCACCAACUAGUUAAUCAGACGCAGGCCCAUCCUUAGCCGAUAAAUCUUUGGCCACACUCACAUGUGUAUGUGUGGCAUUAUGAGGUUUUAAUCAUCGUUUCCAAUGGCUAUCCCUCUGCUAAGGGCAGGUUGCCUACGCGUUACUCACCCGUCCGCCGCUUUCCUCUGAUUCUCUUUGACGAAUCUCAGAUCAUCAGAUUCUCGCUCGACUUGCAUGUAUUAGGCACGCCGCCAGCGUUCAUCCUGAGCCAGGAUCAAACACU